rnacentral:rRNA from 1 species
AUUGAACGCUGGCGGCAGGCUUAACACAUGCAAGUCGAACGAGUGGCGGACGGGUGAGUAAUGUUUGGGAAUCUGCCUUAUGGAGGGGGAUAACUACGGGAAACUGUAGCUAAUACCGCGUACCAUAGGAUGAGCCCAAGUGGGAUUAGGUAGUUGGUGAGGUAAAGGCUCACCAAGCCGACGAUCUCUAGCUGGUCUGAGAGGAUGAACGGCCACAUUGGGACUUGGACACGGGCCAGAAUCCUACGGGGGGCAGCAGUGGGGAAUCUUCCGAAAUGGACGAAAGUUGGCGGAGCAAAGCCGCGGUAGUGAUGACGGCCUUCGGGUUGUAAAGCUCUUUAAGCGAGACGACGGUACCGGAAUAGAAAGCCACGGCUAACUACGUGCCAGCAGCCGCGGUAAUAC